CUCCUCUGAAGGCUCGGUGCUUUAAGUUGUGCGUGAGUGUGCGCACACACCAUCUUGCCCGCCACUGCGCACUGCUGGGUGCGGGUUACAGAGCAUCACUGCAGUAGCUGUUGCGCACUGGUGCCCAACGCCUUUCGCCGGCCUUUUCUCUUUGUUUCUAAGUGACUCGCCGUGCGCUGCGCAGGGGCUUACUUUCUCCGAGACGUGCCGCACCCAUGCCCUCCGAACACUGGAGUUUUUUUGGGCUGCCGCCCUUCUUCACCGAGCAGCACUCACCGGCUACGCUGGACAGGCAGUGCACGCUGUGGUCGAACCUCCUUCUCGACCACGCCAUCUACCACGCCCAGCGCACCGCCGGCGGCGAUACCAAUGCCCUUCUGCGCUUCUAUACUACCCAGAGCGACAUCUUCUACAACCCGGCCAUCGACAAGCGUCUGAGCCCAGAGGCCGCUCACACGAUGCUGCAGUCGCUCGUUGCACGCCACCCGAACCACGCCGUUAUCGUCUCAGACGGCGGCCCCAGGGACUUCUCUGUGCUCGUGUGCACGACGGAGGACGGGUUCAAGGGGAUGGAGGAGACGUUGCUGCGCUACAUUCUCGACCACGGCGAGGUGCAGACGACGGCAAUGCUCUCGAAAAAGGGCACAGUCAUGACCUUCGACGAGCUCGCUAGCGGCGCAGCCCUCGGCUACGGGCAGACUCGCCCAGCGUAUCUCGCGCGAUUUUCCUCUGCUGCCGUUCCAGUUGCUGAUGUUGGCCGCCUCUCCGAGGAGCAGGCGAUUCGCACGUAUUUGCACGCUGUGAACCAUCGCCCCGUGUCGGCGAUGCGCCCCUUCAAGGUGACUCUCUUUAACCUCGACGGGACCGCGACACAGCCCUACCAAGGCGUCAAGUUCGGUGGCGAAUGAGAGGCGAGGGGUGGCGCGGGCGUGUGCUUUGGCGUAAGGUGGCUUGCAUGCGUGCGCACCUCGCCUUCUCCCACUUGUCCUUGUUGCAUGUGUGCAUGUGUCUGUCAUGUGGCUGGUGCCGCCUGCGUGACGACGGAGCUCAGCGUGUUGUCGUGCCCGCCCGUCUGCUUGCUGGCGGACAGGUCCUUUUUGGUUGGCUUCGUUGCACGGGACAAACAAUUGUUGUGCAUGAAGAACGCCCACUGUGCAAACCAGACAGCGUCGCAAAAGAAAAUACGAAAGGACGCCCACACUGCUCAGUGCAGAUGGAGGAACGCGCAGCAUGCGAAUCGCUGGGGCGUGCUUGCAGCCGCGUUGCAUACGUGCUGUAGGUCGCGGUCUCUACGCUUUCCGUUUCUUUUACUACUCCUUCUCUGCGCUACCGGUGUCUCCUGUGGAUGGAAAACGUUGCUCGUCAUUGCUCUCUGUCAGUGUAUGCCUUGCAUCGGUGCGCACUGCCUCGAAAAUACCCGCUCUUCUCUCGCUCUUCUCUGUAUCCUCUCGACUCCCCCCUCCCCGUCCACUCCCGGCGGCCAGUGGGUUGCGAAGGAGGAGGAGUAACCCAGUCGUGGCGCGAGCUCUCGCAUCUUCUUGACUUGCUUUGUACGUGCGCUUAUCACACACUCUACUUGCGGAGAAGACUGUCAGGCAUACGUGCAUAUACAUACUCAUCUCCGUCGGGCACCUCUGCUCUCGUUCUACUCCCUUGCUAAAACGCCCAUGUGUGUGCCUGUGUGCGUGCAUGUGCUGUCACACGUCUCCUCUCCGCUUCUCCUAUCCCCACACUGUACUUCGCUCUAACCGACGUCGUCGCCACAUGAUCCGGGCCACAG
rnacentral:misc_RNA from 1 species